UACGGAGGGUGCAAGCGUUAAUCGGAAUCACUGGGCGUAAAGCGUACGUAGGCGGCGAUGUAAGUCAGAUGUGAAAGCCCUCGGCUCAACCGGGGAAUUGCAUUUGAUACUGCAUUGCUUGAGUAUCGGAGAGGAUGGCGGAAUUCCAGGUGUAGGAGUGAAAUCCGUAGAGAUCUGGAAGAACACCAGUGGCGAAGGCGGCCAUCUGGACGAUCACUGACGCUGAGGUACGAAAGCAUGGGGAGCAAACAGG
rnacentral:rRNA from 1 species